UAGCGGGGACAGGAUUUGAACCUGCGACCUCUGGGUUAUGAGCCCAGCGAGCUACCGAGCUGCUCCACCCCGCG
rnacentral:tRNA from 4 species